UAGGGAGGGCUGCCUUUAGUGCUACACAGAAAUCACUCACCAUGUCCUGGAGCUGGGUUUGGAGGAAGGUCCCCUGCUGGGCAGCUGAAGGCCGCCACUGCAUCCUCCCCUUCUUCAAGCCAAGCAUCAGUCACCUUCUUUGACUAGGGAGGAUUACCUGUUCUGUUGAAUGUUUCCAACGUUUUCCAAAGAAUUUGUCUGAGGGAGGCCUUUGAAGAUGAACAUAGGGAAAAUUUUGAGCUGUAAUGCUCUGGACCCUGGAAUUGCUGAUGAGAAGUAGCUUAAUAUAGAGGAGUCUGUGCUGUGCAGCUGAAGUUUUUUUUUCCCUAAGAUACCCUUUCCCCAGGGACAAAUUCUAUUAUUUCCCAAAGUGUUUCUGUCCGCGAUGGAUGAGAGCUGUUGUUUUGGGGAGGAGUCUCUAUGUUUUUCCCUAUACA
rnacentral:lncRNA from 1 species